rnacentral:rRNA from 1 species
AUUGAAAGCUGGCGGCAGGCCUAACACAUGCAAGUCGAGCGAGUAGCGGAAGGGUGAGUAAUGCAUGGUGAUCUGACUUAUGGAGGGGGAUAACUACUGGAAACUGUAGCUAAUACCGCAUACUAUAGGAUGAGCCAACAGGGGAAUAGGUAGUUGGUGAGGUAAAGGCUCACCAAGCCGACUAUCUAUAGCUGGUCUGAGAGGAUGAACAGCCACACGUGGACUGGGACACGGCCCAGACUCCUACGGGAGUCAGCAGUGGGGAAUAUGGCGCAAUGGGCGCAACCUGAUGCAGCCAUGCCGCGUGAAUGAAGAAGGCCUUCGGGUUGUAAAGUUCUUUCGGUAGCGAGGCGUUACCUACAGAAGAAGCACCGGCUAACUCCGUGCCAGCAGCCGCGGUAAUAC